GAUGAACGCUGGCGGCGUGCCUAACACAUGCAAGUCGAGCGAUUCUCUUUGGAGAAGAGCGGCGGACGGGUGAGUAACGCGUGGGUAACCUGCCCUGUACACACGGAUAACAUACCGAAAGGUAUGCUAAUACGAGAUAAUAUACUUUUAUCGCAUGGUAGAAGUAUCAAAGCUUUUGCGGUACAGGAUGGACCCGCGUCUGAUUAGCUAGUUGGUAAGGUAACGGCUUACCAAGGCGACGAUCAGUAGCCGACCUGAGAGGGUGAUCGGCCACAUUGGAACUGAGACACGGUCCAAACUCCUACGGGAGGCAGCAGUGGGGAAUAUUGCACAAUGGGCGAAAGCCUGAUGCAGCAACGCCGCGUGAGCGAUGAAGGCCUUCGGUCGUAAGACUCUGUCCUCAAGGAAGAUAAUGACGGUACUUGAGGAGGAAGCCCCGGCGUAACUACGUG
rnacentral:rRNA from 1 species